CGAUGCUACAGGAAGGCCAUAAAGAUCAUCAAGGACAUCAACCACCCGAGCCACUGCCUGUUCACCCCGCUGUCAUCCAGAAGGCGAGGAGCGGACCCAUCCCAGUCUGUUGAGGUGUGUGAGACAGUGUUUUACAAGGCCUUGACCAGGAUGCUGGUUGCUGGUAUCCUGUCCAGUGGUACUACAACAGAGAUAGUACAGUACUACCAUAAAAAGACUCUGAGGCUGAUCCGGCGGGCCGUGCGACCAGACAGGGAGGACGGGGACCAUGUUCUCACCUACUACACCAAGGGAGCUCAUCUCAUAGGCCUGAAGAGCAACCAGCUCCUCAAGUACAUCCAGCCAGUGGAGACAAUUGCCCAGAGCCAGAAGAAGAAGGACAGCCCGUACUUGAGGCGUCCCAGCCUUAUCGUGGCCUACACCUCCUGGAACCCUGCACAGAGGGCCAAAAUGAUCUGCAUGAAGUCUGUCAAGACCGGGAAGACCAUUGAGAAUGAGGAUCGCAUCAGACAACAGUCAAUCAAGCACCAUGGGAUGGAGAAAAUGGAGACGAUCACACCUGUGAAGAUGAAGGUGAACCAGUCCAUGAAGGAGAGGGACCACCUCACUUACAAUGAGAUCAACCAGAUAAAGCUGAAGUCCAGUCUAAAUCAAGUCUGAAGGAGUACCUGAAGGACCUGACCCAGCUGAAGCGUAGGGACAUGUGGAACUCCUGGGGCUCCCUUCAGUGUUACUGUGCCUUCCACAGCCAGAAGGACUUCCCCAAAACCUUCACCACCAACUCCUGGUCCUGGAGUGGCUGAUGGAGACUGGAGACCUGGACGCUCCCUGUAGGUCCACACUACGCCUGCAUAUAGCCAACCACUGGAGCCCAUCGCUAGGAAGCAGCGUGCCUCGUCC
ensembl:lncRNA